ensembl:lncRNA
CUCCACUGGCAGUGUGUCUUUUAUGAAGGGAGUACUCCUAGUUCAGUUCCACAAUGUGUUUUUACUGAUAUACCUCAACAACAAUUAGAUAAACUGGCAUGCAAUUCUGUACAGACAUUCAUGCUGUGGCAAUAUGAAGGCACCUGCGCUGAAUAAGAUGACGUCUAUGGCCCGAGUGUCCCGGGAGUCAAUGACCUCAGGUGUGAAACAUCACUCCCAGGGGAUCGGUGUGCAUUAGCGGUUUCCCAUGCAGCAGAUGGCAAGCCAUAGAGACAAUGAGUGGAUGCGACAGUCGAGCCAGGUAAAGCAGAGGGAGGGGUUGACGCGGGUUAAUCUUGAACUGCCUGUUGAAGGAGCGAAUUCAAACCCACAUGCUGCGGCGGGGUGGAAGGACUGCUGUUUUAUUACACAGUACGCAUAGUUUCCUAUACUUAUAACAACAAUGCAUGGUGGUUAGAAGAU